GGGUUUUGCUAAGUGUAAGAGUUAAAGUUGGGGGACACUGAGGCAGUAUAAAUUAGUUUCUCUCUGCAAGGAGUAUUAUAUUUUUAGAGGUUUAUUAAAGGAUUAAAGAAAAUACAGAAUAAGAGAACACGUGUCUAGGCCUCUGGCCUAGACAACCUCACCUACAUUAUGAAAAGAGUCUGCGUGUAAGCUGAAACAGGAAAGAAAAGAGAGGCCCAGAAGCCUUUCCAAUCAGGUUAAAUACCCCAUCUUGAUCUCGGCCCAGGUGAGAAUUCCGUGAUAUUACAAAGCAUUCUGGGGAAGUGGAGCAAGGACUUCUGGGGAUUGAAGUCCUGGACUCAAGUCUCCAUUUUUACAUAAGUUAGUGACAGGAGUAUGAAUCCUGUCAGACUGUCAGACUGCCUUGGGUGGAACCUUGUGCUAAGGUCUUGCUUAGGAAUUCUGAGACACCCAAGGAAUUGGAAGUUCUGUUAAGCCCAACUGUCUCUCUCUGCUGGUGUUCCCUGCCCAGAGAGAAGGCUAAAGCUUUGGCUCCUGGGAAUUCCUUGAACUGGCCUGACAGUUUUGGAAAGAAGAGAAAGUUGGAAGUUUUGGGAAGAGCUGUGAAAGGAACAAAUAGAGCAACCUGGUUCUAUGGCAUCUGCAGAGUGCUACACCAACAGACAAAACAAGAUCAUCAUUUCUUGUCUUAUGUAUGGUGCCAACAACCCUAUGGUCAAGUAGACAUCUCUGCAGUGAAAGUAGAAACUGAGGAUGACAUCAUGAAGAUGGCCUUCGUAUUAAAGCAGGUUAAAAAUCCUCCAAAGCAUCUCUCAGAAGUCCCUAAAAAUGAGAUUGUGUCAGGAUGACAGCUUCAUAGUGAGAACUCAAAUUUUGGAUGUUCUUUAAAAAAAAUAAAUGUUUGAUUUUAUAGGAGAGAACA
ensembl:lncRNA